AUCCGCUGACGAAAUUCAAGCUGGUGUUCCUGGGGGAGCAAAGCGUUGCAAAGACAUCUUUGAUCACCAGAUUCAUGUAUGACAGUUUUGACAACACCUAUCAG
rnacentral:sRNA from 1 species